rnacentral:lncRNA from 1 species
CCCACCCCCACCCCCGAGUUCGUCUUCCUCCUGAUGCGGGAGGCUUGACUCCAGUGCGCAGGGACUGUGCUAAACAGAAAACUGUCAGUCACUGCGGGAAUGUGCCUCCCUGAUCGCCGCGAUCGCCCGCUGCCGCAGCUGUUUCUCCUUCACACGCAUAGGCUCCCUGUCUUGCAUGGGAGGGAGCAGACCCAGGGGACACCAGACCAACUUGAGUUCACAUGGGUUGACUAUCCACACCUCUCUCCUCUGUCUUUGGUAUCCCGUGAAGUGUGCUGUGUCUCCUCUACCCUGUGAUUCCUGUUCAUCUCAGGAAGCAGCUGAAAGGGUCAGGAAGGUCCUGGGACAUUAAACUACUGUUUGG